ensembl:snRNA U5 U5 spliceosomal RNA
UGGUUUCUCUUCAUUACGCACAAGCCUUUCGCCUUUUACUAAAGACUUCCGUGGAGAGGAACACUUAC